rnacentral:rRNA from 1 species
AGUUUGAUCCUGGCUCAGAACGAACGCUGGCGGCAGGCUUAACACAUGCAAGUCGAGCGGGCCCUUCGGGGUCAGCGGCAGACGGGUGAGUAACGCGUGGGAACGUACCAUUUGCUACGGAAUAACUCAGGGAAACUUGUGCUAAUACCGUAUGAGCCCCCCUUUAAAAUUUCAGGAAUCAUAAAAUGCCCUGGCAUUUUAUGGGGGGGAAAGAUUUAUCGGCAAAUGAUCGGCCCGCGUUGGAUUAGCUAGUUGGUGGGGUAAAGGCCUACCAAGGCGACGAUCCAUAGCUGGUCUGAGAGGAUGAUCAGCCACACUGGGACUGAGACACGGCCCAGACUCCUACGGGAGGCAGCAGUGGGGAAUAUUGGACAAUGGGCGCAAGCCUGAUCCAGCCAUGCCGCGUGAGUGAUGAAGGCCCUAGGGUUGUAAAGCUCUUUCACCGGUGAAGAUAAUGACGGUAACCGGAGAAGAAGCCCCGGCUAACUUCGUGCCAGCAGCCGCGGUAAUACGAAGGGGGCUAGCGUUGUUCGGAUUUACUGGGCGUAAAGCGCACGUAGGCGGGCUAAUAAGUCANGGGUGAAAUCCCGGGGCUCAACCCCGGAACUGCCUUUGAUACUGUUAGUCUUGAGUA